rnacentral:rRNA from 1 species
CCUACGGGUGGCAGCAGUGAGGAAUAUUGGUCAAUGGGCGCGAGCCUGAACCAGCCAAGUAGCGUGAAGGAUGACUGCCCUACGGGUUGUAAACUUCUUUUAUAAAGGAAUAAAGUGAGGCACGUGUGCCUUUUUGUAUGUAUUUUAUGAAUAAGGAUCGGCUAACUCCGUGCCAACAGCCGCGGUAAUACGGAGGAUCCGAGCGUUAUCCGGAUUUAUUGGGUUUAAAGGGAGCGUAGAUGGGUUGUUAAGUCAGUUGUGAAAGUUUGGGGCUCAACCGUAAAAUUGCACUUGAUACUGGGAGCCUUGAGUACAGUUGAGGCAGGCGGAAUUCGUGGUGUAGCGGUGAAAUGCUUAGAUAUCAGGAAGAACACCGAUGGCGAAGGCAGCCUACUAAACUGCAACUGACGUUGAGGCUCGAAAGUGUGGGGAGCAAACAGGAUUAGAUACCCCGGUAGUC